rnacentral:pre_miRNA from 1 species
GGGGGGAGUGCCAGAUCUUGGGCUGUGUCCCCUGGAGCCCUGGGCCCCUGAGCUUGUGCUGCUGGAAUUGCACUCUUGGGGCCACACAACCCCCU